rnacentral:lncRNA from 1 species
UAUAGAUAUCACACAAUUUGGGGGACUUUCCUGAAAUACAAAGUCUUGUUGACCAGCCAGUACUUCCUAAAAUUUCCCAGGACAAACACCUGCAUGGACUCACUCCUGUUAGCUUCUCAACUGUCCCCAAUCUGUUCUGACCUCAAAUGUUAGGCUGAGGACAGCUAGGAGAGACGGGCUUGGUGGGCUACAGUCCAUGUGGGUCACUAAGAGACACGACUAGCAUCUAACUAACAGCUUGAGCCAGUCGAGGGCUGAAAACGGCACACAAUGACAGUAUCUGCGAGGCUCCCAAGUGGGACACCUAGACCAGGCUCAGUCAGAUUCGCUCAAAGAUUCGCGCGCCUGCGGGUGCAACGCUCAUAGUCUAGGUGCCAAAGGCCUCGGGUCCCAGGAUCCUGAGCUGCGUGACUCGGUGCCCACCACCCGGCAGGCUCUGGGGCGACCCCGCGCAUGCGCCCCAAGACGUAGCGGCGACGCCAGUGGAGAAUCCUCGCUUGUCGUCGUCGUCGUCGUCGUCGUGGAGUUAAGGCAGCAACGGUGUUUUCCCGCGCUUUUCUUGGGAGUCUCAGGUUAGAUUUUUUUUUUUUUUAAUUUGUAUUAAUCUUGUUAGUAUUUUCUUUUGAGAGCGCUGCUAGUUUGAAGUUUCCGUGAGUCUAAUCUUCAAAACUUGGUCCUUGCUAAAUUGGACAGCUCACUAAAUGAACUCUUUCCCCGACCUUGUGGAAAAUUUUGAACUAGCUGUACCUCUCGCUCUGCCUGGUGCAGAUCUCCUGGAGAAAGGAAUGGCCACCCACUCCAGUAUUCUUGUCUGGGAAAUCCCGUGGACAGAGGAGCUUGGCGGUUGCAAAGAGUCGGACGAGACUGAGCAACUAACAUUGGCUCUGCCUGGUAAGGGACUCAGAUUCCAAACUGUUCCCAGCUCUUCUGCUUCCCGUCUGCACUCUAUCCUGCCGGAGGGACACAGGCCUUGUAACUGUGGCCGCCGGGUACCUGUGGAGACUCCUUCAGCAGGGACAUUUGGGGUAAAAAGUGUCAGAGCAUCCUUGUCCUACCCCUGUGACCCAGGCAACUGUCUUGACAGAAUUUAUCUGUUUCUAAAUGUGACCAUCUUCCCUUGGUGUGUAAUUGGUGUAUCACUAUUAUUUUAUUAGUGACACUAUAAUUUUAUUUGUUAGCUGCUCAGUCGUGUCUGACUCUGCAACCCCUUGGACAGUAGCCCACCCGGCUCCUGUGUCUGUGGAAUUCCCCAGGCAAGAAUGCUGGAGUGGGUAGCCAUUCCCUUUUCCAGGGGAUCUUNNNNNNNNNNNNNNNNNNNNNNNNNNNNNNNNNNNNNNNNNNNNNNNNNNNNGUCUGAGGCACAAGAGAAGACCAAUUUUAUACAGUAAUGACUAAUUUUGAUAUGUUCAGGAUAUUGCUGCCUAGUUUGGAUUAAACUCCAGUGACAGUAGACACUAUAUUGAAAAAUAAUGGAAUAGAAGCAUAGCAUUGAAUAGUAUUUACAUUAAUAGGUGAGUUGUUUAAUUGGUGAUAAAGUUUGCUUUUAUAUAGAUUUUCAGGCUUUAUAAUGUCAACUACUUGAAUGAAUUAAAUUAGUUUCUAUUUAAUAAUAUAGGUUACUACUAGUCUUUUUUAGUCAAGGCAACACAGUUAAACAAUCUGAGGAAUCACAGCAUAUAUGAAAACCUAAAAAUGUAACUUAAAAUACUUUGCAUUAAAGAAUGGCUAAAAUUAGUGCCUGGACUUUUUAUAUCUGCCAAGUGUGGAAGUGAUACUAAAAUAUUCUAGCAAACUAUGAGGGUAAUACAUUUGGAUUUUUGUUUAGGUAUUGAGAAAUGGCAAAAAGCACGAAUUUAAUUUUUAUCUGUACUUUGUAAAUGUUCCUAAACCUUUUUUUUUUU